GAUGCAAGCCAGGCAGCCGCUGGUCGUCGCAAGACGACGGGAGGAAGGUCCGGACUCCACAGGGCAGGGUGACGGUUAACGGCCGUCCGCCGAAUACAUAAGGCGAGGAAUAGGGCCACAGAGACGAGUCUUUGGGACCGGGGAGGGCGAAAGCCGCUCCCUGCGUUACAAAGGGUGAAACGCGGUAACCUCCACCCGGAGCAAUUCCAAAUAGGCACGCGAUGAGGCGGUCCGCGGAGCGUGCGGGUAGGAAGCUUGAGCCGUGAAGCAAUUCACGGCCUAGAGGAAUGGCUGUCAUAACGGGCAACCGUCGUAACAGAAUCCGGCCUAUCGGCUUGCUUCACAU
rnacentral:RNase_P_RNA from 1 species